rnacentral:rRNA from 1 species
AUACGUAGGGGGCGAGCGUUGUCCGGAAUGAUUGGGCGUAAAGGGCGCGUAGGCGGCCCGGUAAGUCUGGAGUGAAAGUCCUGCCUUUAAGGUGGGAAUUGCUUUGGAUACUGUCGGGCUUGAGUGCAGGAGAGGUAAGUGGAAUUCCCAGUGUAGCGGUGAAAUGCGUAGAGAUUGGGAGGAACACCAGUGGCGAAGGCGACUUACUGGACUGUAACUGACGCUGAGGCGCGAAAGUGUGGGGAGCAAACAGGAUUAGAUACCCUGGUAGUCCACACUGUAAACGAUGAAUGCUAGGUGUAGGGGGUAUCGACCCCUUCUGUGCCGCAGUUAACACAAUAAGCAUUCCGCCUGGGGAGUACGGCCGCAAGGUUGAAACUCAAAUGAAUUGACGGGG